rnacentral:lncRNA from 1 species
AAUUCACUCGAAAGGUAAGUUUCCACCAAACUCCCUUUUAUCUUCUACUAAAACAAGAAAAUUCAAAAAAAAAGAAAAGAGGUCAGUUGUUGUUCUCGAAUUUUGCCCCCAGCCAUCAGCAUUAGGGUUUUAAACCCUAAACAGAACUUUUUUCAUUCAGCCAGCAUUAGGGUUCUAAACCCUAAACUGAGCUUUUCCAUGCAAUCAGCAUUAGGGUUUUAAACCCUAAACUGAAUUUUUCCCUUUAAUCAGCAUUAGGGUUUUAAACCCCAAACUGAACUCUUUUCCUAUCAGCCAGCAUUAGGGUUUUAAACCCUAAACUGAGCUUUUCCAUGCAAUCAACAUUAGGGUUUUAAACCUUAAACUGAAUUUUUUCCAUUCAGCCAGCAUUAGGGUUUUAAAACCUAAACUGAGCUUCUCCUUUCAGCCAGCAUUAGGGUUUUAAACCCUAAACUGAGCUUUUUCCUUUCAGCCAGCAUUAGGGUUUUAAACCCCGAAACUGAGCUUUUCCUAUCAGCCAGCAUUAGGAUUUUAAACCCUAAACUGAGCUUUUCCAUGCAAUCAGCAUUAGGGUUUUAAACCCUAAACUGAAUUUUUCCCUUUAAUCAGCAUUAGGGUUUUAAACCCCAAACUGAACUCUUUUCCUGUUAGCCAGCAUUAGGGUUUUAAACCCUAAACUGAGCUUUUCCAUGCAAUCAGCAUUAGGGUUUUAAACCUUAAACUGAAUUUUUUCCAUUCAGCCAACAUUAGGGUUUUAAACCCUAAACUGAGCUUCUCCUUUCAGCCAGCAUUAGGGUUUUAAACCCUAAACAGAGCUUUUUCCUUUC